rnacentral:lncRNA from 1 species
CCAGUGUACAGCAGUGUGCAUACAGAAACUGCUCCAAAAGUAAUAGUUUAUGGAAAAACCAACUGACGCUGCAAAAAGUUCUUUCUUUUGUUCUAGGUAGAAGAAAAUCCAGCGGUCUCCAGUGAUCUUUAGACAUCUUCCCACAUAUGGCAGAUUUUCUGGGAAGGCACUUAGUAAAAAGUGGCAACAGGCUCAAGGAUGCAAGGAGAACUUUCUUCAUAGCCUUAUCCAGGAGGUCAAACCACAAGAGGACAUCUCCUGAAAUUAUCAAGAUGCUGAUGGUGGCUGAUUGGAUGUUUGGUUUCUCAUUGUGAGCUGGCUCAUCUUGCCCUCCAGACUUGCCUGAAAACUCCUUAUUGGAUGUUGAGCCCUGAACGAAUUCCUGUCUGCUGCCACGUGCUGAGUCACGGUUCGUGUGACUCCUCACUGACUCCUGGCUGCCUUCUAGGCAGAUGGGCCUGCCGGGACUGAGAGGAAGCAGCGGCCAGCCAGACACCCACACCUCCAGGCAGAGUCACUUCUGAGAUGCCGUCUUCCGUCCUCGGGGUGAAAACGAGUCAUCGGCCAGCUGGGUGGGGAGAGAGGAGUGGGGUGGGGGUCGGCUGACAUCAUGCCUGAUCUUUCCUGCCGGGUUUGAGGGAAGGUCAUGCUUAAGCUUGACUUUUGAGGGAAAAGGAGGUGACGUCAUCGAUGAGCUUUCUCUGCUUGAGUGUCAGGGGAUGGAGUCACUUCCAGACAGGAAUCUGGGCCUGGAGCAAGAACAGACAGGACACCAGCAGCUCCCUGCCCUCACUUUGCCUGACUGAGAUGCUCUGCUGGAAUUGGGCUACAGGACUGCACAGAAUGCAGCCUGUCUUCUUACAGACAGGGCACUGAGCAGAAGCAGAGUGGUCCAUCAGACAACAGCCUUGCUUAAGAGGACUGACUUCUGGUGAACGGCCCUUACAGUGAGUAACUAAUUCAUCCAAGAGCGGAUAUUAGUCAUUUCCUCAGGCAAAGGUAAACAUCAAUGGGGGCAGGGUUUGGAAAUUCAUGCCAAGUGGUCAGUGUUGAGGAAGCCAUAUAAGGUAAGAGUGAUCACAUACAUUAUUCACGUUUAUUCAUUCAACAAAUACUUAUUGAACAUCAACUAUGUGCUAAGCACCAGAUUUAGGGGUAUGCAAGUU